AUUGAACGCUGGCGGCAUGCCUUACACAUGCAAGUCGAACGGCAGCACGGGAGCAAUCCUGGUGGCGAGUGGCGAACGGGUGAGUAAUAUAUCGGAACGUGCCCAGUAGUGGGGGAUAGCCCGGCGAAAGCCGGAUUAAUACCGCAUACGACCUGAGGGUGAAAGCGGGGGAUCGCAAGACCUCGCGCUAUUGGAGCGGCCGAUAUCAGAUUAGCUUGUUGGUGGGGUAAAAGACUACCAAGGCGACGAUCUGUAGCUGGUCUGAGAGGACGACCAGCCACACUGGGACUGAGACACGGCCCAGACUCCUACGGGAGGCAGCAGUGGGGAAUUUUGGACAAUGGGCGCAAGCCUGAUCCAGCCAUGCCGCGUGCGGGAAGAAGGCCUUCGGGUUGUAAACCGCUUUUGUCAGGGAAGAAACGGCUCUUGAUAAUACCGAGAGCUAAUGACGGUACCUGAAGAAUAAGCACCGGCUAACUACGUGCCAGCCGCCGCAGUAAAAC
rnacentral:rRNA from 1 species